rnacentral:rRNA from 1 species
CAGUCGCCACGGGAAUACAGAGGGUGCAAGCGUUAAUCGGAAUUACUGGGCGUAAAGCGCGCGUAGGUGGUUUGUUAAGUUGGAUGUGAAAGCCCCGGGCUCAACCUGGGAACUGCAUCCAAAACUGGCAAGCUAGAGUACGGUAGAGGGUGGUGGAAUUUCCUGUGUAGCGGUGAAAUGCGUAGAUAUAGGAAGGAACACCAGUGGCGAAGGCGACCACCUGGACUGAUACUGACACUGAGGUGCGAAAGCAUGGGGAGCAAACAGGAUUAGAUACCCGAGUAGUCCUGUCUCUUAUACA